UACGUAGGGCGCAAGCGUUAUCCGGAAUUACUGGGCGUAAAGAGCUCGUAGGUGGUUUGUCGCGUUGUUCGUGAAAACUCACAGCUUAACUGUGGGCGUGCGGGCGAUACGGGCAGACUGGAGUACUGCAGGGGAGACUGGAAUUCCUGGUGUAGCGGUGGAAUGCGCAGAUAUCAGGAGGAACACCGGUGGCGAAGGCGGGUCUCUGGGCAGUAACUGACGCUGAGGAGCGAAAGCGUGGGGAGCGAACAGG
rnacentral:rRNA from 1 species